UCGUCAACGCGAAUUAUCACCAAUCGGUGCAAUCGUAACCCAAGUGGGUCUACCAGUGACAAGUGUCACGAUUAUAGCAAGAGCGCUAUAAUCCAGUUUCACGCGUGAUAAAGACAGGCAAGUGCCCGCUUAAAGGUGGGCCAGCGCCCAAGAGAUAGGCAAAUGCCCAAUGGUUAACCAAAUAAGAGCGAAGAUAUUGCCCAGCGGCAAAGUGCCAGAGAAUUGGGGAAAGAUCCGAGGGUUAAUAUGCAAGUGUGCCACAACAACUAUCCCCCCUCAGGACGCAGCGUCCUCGCAGCGUUAGUGGCACGAGCCUUAACUGCUUGAAGUUCGGGGCGAAGGUCGGGCGUAAAGUUUUUCUCUGGCUCCCAGCUAUUAUGUUCAUUGGAAUACCCGGUCCAUUUGACGAGGUACUCGUGCACCAGCCCCUUACGGCGUCUUCCUAGGCGGCGGGCACGAUAAUCCAGUAUGCGCUCGACCGAGUAAAGUGGAUCGCUCUUCAGCCACUGAACCGGCGGCGGUCCUGCAGGACUAGAAAGUGCAGAAGAACUGUCGCGAACAGUUGAAGAAUCCAACGCAUCCGCCGGCGCCUUGUAAGGCCGCAACAACGUUACGUGGAAGGUGGGGUGGAUGCGCAUAUCAGACGGUAGGACAAGCUCGGCCGCUGCUUUGCCAACCAUGCGCUUCACAGGGUAAGGACCCACCCACCGCGGCAAUAGUUUACGAGGUCCGACGGCUAACUGCCGCAGAUUUUUCGUACUUAAAAGCACUAAGUCGCCUUCUUUGAAGGUAACUUCGGCUCUGCCGCGGUUGUAAUAGUUAGUCGUACGGUCUAUGGCUUUUUCCAGACACUGCUUCGCUUCUGCAAUACGAGCAACGUACGACUUAAUAAAGGAUUUGGCUGCCGGGACCGGAACAUCAAGUUCACGUGAGACGGGAGUAGCUGGGUGGAACCCGUAAUUUAAGAAGAAAGGAGAUUGUCCCGUAGAGCGAUUGACAGCGUUGUUCAUCGCGAAUUCUGCAGCCGAAAGAUAGGUGUCCCAAACACGAGGGUUGUGGCCAGCGUAAGUACGCAGCAUAUCACCCAAAGUGCGAUUCAUUCGCUCAGUCUGACCGUCAGUUUGUGGAUGGUAGGCAGUAGAAAGGCUUACUCGGAAAUUAGCCAAAGUGCCAAGGGCUCCCCAAAACUUGGCACCAAACUGAGGUCCUCUAUCAGAAAUAAUCUGUUUGGGAACACCAUGCAGACGCACCACGUUAUCAAAGAACAGUCGAGCGGUUUGCUCCGCGGUAACUGUCGUGGUGGUCGGUACCAAAUGUACCAUCUUGGUCAAGCGGUCAACAAUGACGAGGACAGCGUCGUAUCCCCCCUCGGAAAGAGGAAGCACGACGACAUAGUCAAGCGACACACUCUCCCAAGGCGAGUCUGGAAUCGGCAAGGGCUGAAGUAGGCCCGAUUGCUUACCAGACAUUGGCUUCUGCCGUUGGCAAACGUCACACUGCUCAACAAAGGAAGCAGCAUCACGAGCCAUCCGUGGCCACCAGAAGUUGCGACGUAGCAACUCAAUAAGGCGAGUAGAACCCACAUGACCGGAAAGUGGAUCCUGAUGCACACGGGAAAGGAUAUCACGGCGAAGCAUAUCAUCAUUAGGGACAACCGUUUGACGUCGAUCACCAUCAGUGCGAACCCAGAGACCCUGGACACGGGUCAACUGGUCGACGUUAUUGGGAUCGUCGAACCAAGGGUCGGUUUUGUAUCCGUCCACGAUUCGUUUAGCAAAAGCAGAAAUCGUCAAAUCGGCAGCCACAGACUGACGUCGAGUCACAACCGACAGGACGACAGAGUGCAAGGAAGGAUGGCGACUCAAAGCAUCAGCAACGUUAACAGAACCGGACACAUGUUCCCAAGUGAAGUUAAAACGCUGCAUAUAUUCUAACCACCGCGCCUGACGGCGGUUAAGAGUCGGAACACCCUGCAGAAAGGUUAGAGGCUUGUGGUCGGUUUUGACAACGAACGGGCGUCCCUCAAGAUAGCAGCGCCAUUCACGCAAGGCGUGAACAACGGCUAGUAGCUCUUGUUCACCCGUGGUGUAGCCGCGUUCGGCAGCAGAAAAUUUCUUGCUGGAAAACGCGACAGGACGACCGUUCUGAAGCAAAACUGCCCCCGUACCGUGCAGCGAGGCGUCGGAAAUAAGCUCAACACGGAAAGGCUGAGAGUAAUCGGGAAAACGCAGCACUAUAUCGUCCGCAACAGCACGUUUUAUAGCCUCAAAAGACGCCUGACAUUCAGCAGUCCAAACGUCAGCGGAAGAAAACGCACCCUUUCGCGUAAGACUCGUCAACGGCGCGGCGAGAGACGAGUAAUUGGCUAUAAACUUGUGGAAGUAAUUGGUAAGCCCUAGGAACUUUCGCAGCUCCAGCAAUGACGUCGGGACAGGCCAGUCACGCACCGCAGCAGUCUUCUUAGGGUCCAUGCGAACCCCGUCAACGGAAACCACAUGACCCAGAUACUCAACUUCGGACUUAGCCCAGUGGCACUUGGACUGCUUGGCGUAAAGCUGUUCCCGCCGCAAAACGUCGAGCACCAAACGAAGAUGUUGGAGGUGCUCUUCCUUCGUUUUGGAAUAGACGAGGAUAUCGUCCAGGUAGCACACGACGAACUUAUCGAUGUACGGCCUGAACAUACGGUCAAUCACGGCUUGAAAAGUAGCAGGAGCGUUAACAAGGCCGAAGCUCAAAACCGUGUACUCAAAGUGACCGAAAGGAGUGCGGAAAGCGGUUUUAGGAAUAUCAGACUCAGCAAUGCGAAUCUGGUUAUAUCCCUGCUGCAGAUCUAUAGAGCUAAAGUAAGCAGACCCGCGAAGCUUAUCGAGCAAAUCGUCUACACGCGGAAGAGGGUACCGAUUCUUAGUGGUCAUGGAAUUCAAUCCACGGUAAUCUAUGCACAUGCGUAGGGAACCGUCCUUCUUACCCACAAACAAGAUCGGGGCAGAGAAGGGAGACGUACUCGGACGAAUCAUGCCUUUAGCAAGCAGCUCAGUAACCUGCCGUUUGACCUCAUCAAGCUCAAGAGGGCUAAGUCGGUACAUAGGGCGUGCGACGGGUUGGGCGUCAGGCACCAACGGAAUUGUGUGAUCCACCGGACGGACUGGAGGAAUACCCGGAAUUUCCCGGAAGACAUCAGCGUAUUCCUCAAGCAGUGCGGAAACUUCAGGGUCCUGAGUGGGAGGAAUCACAGAAGUGGCGUUAAGGCUAACCGAAGGACGAACCAGUAAAGCAUGUGCCCCCUUGCGAAUAAGACGCAUAGCAGCCUUACGACCAAUAGACUCAGGGGUGGCGUGCGCACACAUGGCCGCAGCCGCAAAAUUAACAAGGGGCGCCGACGAGGCAGCACCACUGUCACCUGAAUCCUUAGAAGACGCGCGCCAAGGAAUCGAGUACCGAACAGUACCCUUUGACAAACGCAAAAUAUUGUUCUGAAAAUCCAGGGAUGCAGAGUGCUUACGCAAAGUAUCAGACCCCAGAAUAAAAGGAGCAGCAUCAGUCAAGGACGGCAAAACGUAUGGCGAGACGGUUAGGUACAAAGACCCGACUGCUACGCGAAACGACACUUGCCCCACGAUAGCUUGCCUACCUCCAUCAGCGAGCGAAACAUGGGACCAGUCCGAAGAGCGGACCGGGAGGUGUAGCCGUUGGACAAGGGACUCACUAAUAAAGUCGUGAGUAGCGCCUGUGUCCACCAAUGCCGAAAACGUUUGGCCACCAGUCCGCAGAGACACCAGAGGCAAAGCAACUCGUGUGUCCACAGAACCGGAGGCAACUGCGCAAAGAGAGGAAGCAAAGGGCUCCCGGGCAACAGAGAGACGAGGUAAAGGUGCAUCGUACCACAACUCAGCAGGAUACGGAAUACCGGGAAGCUCUACUGUUUUACCCUCAAGCGAAAGGCCGUUGAAAAGGAUGGACUUCGCGGGAAACGUAAGCACUCGGCGCAUACCUGCUAGCAACGUUGAAGCCCGCCGCGCGAUAUGCGAAGGUAGCAAAAUGCCGGCCACGGUAUCAGGACGGCGGUGCUUGCAUGCAAGGUAGUGCCGAAGCGAAACGCGCAAUUGAUUGAGGGAUGCAGGGACAAAAAGCACAGUAUGACCACCAACAUCGACCGAGCAGAGAGAGCGACCGCGAGGAACCGUUAUGUUACAUUCCGAGUCAAAGCCUGGUUUGACAGCAACGGCGUCAAAAGAAAAACGGCGUCCAACGGCACUCUCAAACUCUGCCAACGAAGCGGGUCUAACCGCGCGGACCAAAGAACGAAUCCCGGCAAAAGGAAACUCAGGGUAGUAUCCCUCAAUACCGCCCUGAGCAAGUUCCUAAUACAGCCCCGCUUCACGCAACCUUUUGAGAGCAGGGCAGUCGUCGUAAAGGUGGUCGGGAUUAACCGCCUCGCAACAGAAACAGAUGGCCUUCCCGCCCACGCGUCGUCGGAGAAUCCCCACCUCCCCGUGCGUCAACCUACGGCCGAACUGGUUGACCCACUUGGUCAACUCGCAAGCUUUGGUCAACGGAAUGACGGGCUCUCUGGCGGCGGAUUCGUUAGGGCGGUCAAUACCGCGCACCCUGUCACCGCGCCCACCACGCGGACCCGUUCUGCCCCCUCGACUACUUCGCCCAGGAACGCUCCCACGUCCCGGCUGCUGGGAGGUCCCUGCAACGGCCGCGGCUAGCCGAGGACCGGAAUCCACGCGUGCCCUCUUGAACGGGGGCUGGUCUCCGUCGAAUUCCUGCAAAACAACGGAAUUCGAACGAAGAGCAGAACGAACUUUUCGUUCAGACAGGGCGCGAACUUCCUGGCCCAAGGCAUGCUGUACCAGGGCGUCGUAAGAGGCAAACGGCUUUCCAUAGACGUCUGUGGCGCAAUGGGGCUGAAGGGAAGAAGAAAGGCCUUCGAAAAACCAAAACAUACGCUCACUAGGAGUGAUCGUGGGUAUGUCUUGGAAGACGGCCUCAAGACGCGAGAGGUAAGCUGGUACACUUUCACUAGCACGCAUCGCAAAAGAUUUGUCAGAGAGCCUACGCCGUGCUUCUUGUUCUACAGAGAUAACCUGAGGAGCGAAACGCGUACGCAGGUUAUCCAGAACAAGCUGAGCAGUGAGUUCGCGCUGCGAUAGGGACCACUCAUCAUACCACGUUUGUGCAGCACCACGGAGCGCUUGCGACAAAAACAGGCAGCAAGACCGAGGGUCCCUACCCCAGGGCACGAUGUCAAAAAACAAAGACGCGUCGCGGAUAAACGCCUUGACGCGGGCAGCAGUCUGCUUCGCAUCAAGCUUGGCAUCUAAUUGUAAUACAGGGGUCGGUAAACUAACCCGCGGGAGGUCGGCCGAAGAGAGUGACCGAACCGGAGGCAAAGGCUCUGGCUCGGCUACGGCUGCCGCCGCAACCGCAGCCUCAGCAGCAGCAGCCGCUUCCACCGCUAACGCCCGCGCAGCCGCCGCACGGCGGUCUGCAUCUGUAGUCUGAGUCUCUGGUAUAACAGGCGAGACAUUGGGGCGAUUCACGGGGGUAUUGAGCGGGUGCCGCAGAGCAAAAGGGGCCAAAGAAGGCAAGGAGUUGAGACGUUCAUCACCAGUAGGACCAAGUGGCCUCAAACGAACAUUCUCGGCAGCCCCAGUGGGCAUAUGCAACAAAGGUGCUGCGGCAAAAGUUGAAAAUGGUGUUCGCGCAUCAGGUUCGCGAACAGCAACAGGCGCCUCAAUAGGGCCGCCCGGAACUCUAGAAGUACUAGCACCGGGGUCGGAAACAAGUCCCGCAACAGCGUAGGCAGGCAAAGUGGAGCGAGCAUCAAGCGCGCCCGAUGCCAUGUCUACGCCAUUACGGUCGCCGCCCAAAUUUAACGGAGCGGAGUUAAACAUUUUAGCUAAAAUAAGAAGGGCCUACCCUUAUGUAAUAACGGCGUGGUCACUACCGCGGAUAAGGGAAGGGCUUGAGGAGGCGGCUCUACCUCGGUUGGAUCCACCGCUCCCGUUCUAACUUCUGCGAUCACAAUGGGCGAUGCAACCAAGGACAAACAAUACAGAUGGUUACGAUCUUUCACUUACCCUGAAGAGCAGCCACGAGCGCUCCAACACUGUAAGCCUCUGACAUUGGCUAACGAUCGAGAUUGGUGCGGAAGAGCUGGUCGAGACCGAACGUCUCGAUACCACUUGUUGUAUCCACCUCCACUGUUUAGGUGGUAGUGAAAACUACCGAUUAGUGAAUGAGAAGAGGCUAAAUGCCUCUGCGUUAGGACGACCCGUACAGAAGUCUGUACGGUCCGAAGAUAUAGUCGUCAACGCGAAUUAUCACCAAUCGGUGCAAUCGUAACCCAAGUGGGUCUACCAGUGACAAGUGUCACGAUUAUAGCAAGAGCGCUAUAAUCCAGUAUCACGCGUGAUAAAGACAGGCAAGUGCCCGCUUAAAGGUGGGCCAGCGCCCAAUUAAAGAUAGGCAAGUGCCCAAUGGUUAACCAAGUAAGAGCGAAGAUAUUGCCCAGCGGCAAAGUGCCAGAGAAUUGGGGAAAGAUCCGAGGGUUAAUAUGCAAGUGUGCCACAACAGCACGUUCGAGCGACUGCACAGCCGUAUCUGCGAUACUUCCGAGCCUACCAGGGUUCGAACCUGGAAUCUCCGGUUCCGUAGACCGGCGCAAUAUCCAUUAUGCCAGGCGCAGCUCCUUGAACUCUCGUUCACAGUGAGGGCACCUCUGGGUGGACAUAUUGAUGAUCAGUCGCGGCAGGUGAGAAUGCUCAGUGAAAGUCUGGCAGUUGACCAGGGCCUCUCCCUAUGUGAUAACCAGUGAAGUAAUUGCGACACCUGUGUCACUAUCUAAUUAUAGGAAAUUACACUAAAUAGAUUUGCUGUAACGUCCUCCAGGAAUGCGCAGAAUGUCUCGCCGAGGCCUGGGCACUGCUUCACUAGCUGUGGCUGCACUACAUAAACAAGUUCCGCUGCCAGCUCAGCAUCAAAAGCA
rnacentral:lncRNA from 1 species